ACGAACGCUGGCGGCGUGGAUAAGGCAUGCAAGUCGUGGGCCGCAGUAAUGCGGCCCGGCGAACGGGGUAGUAACACGUGGGUACUUACCUCAAAGACGGGCAUAACUAGUCGAAAGAUUAGAUAAUUCCCGAUAGUUCCCGCAGUAAUGCGGGAUAAAGGAGCAAUCCGCUUUGAGAAAGGCCUGCGGGCUAUCAGCUAGUUGGUAAGGUAAUGGCUUACCAAGGCUAUGACGGCUAGGGGGGGUGAGAGCCUGUUCCCCACCAAUGGUACUGCGACACGGACCAUACACCUACGGGUGGCUGCAGUCGAGAAUCUUCCACAAUGGGCGAAAGCCUGAUGGAGCGACGCCGCGUGCAUGAUGAAGCUCUUCGGAGUGUAAAGUGCUUUUAUAGGGGAAAAACUUACGUGAUUGUACCCUAAGAAUAAGGGGUUGCUAAACUCGU
rnacentral:rRNA from 1 species